rfam:Picea glauca, whole genome shotgun sequence.
CCGACCUUAGCUCAGUUGGUAGAGCGGAGGACUGUAGUGGGAUUGUAAGUCUCAAUGAAAUCCUUAGGUCGCUGGUUAGAAUCCGGCAGGUCGGA